rnacentral:lncRNA from 10 species
UCCUAGAGGACUGGUCAUACCUCUUUGCACUCUCGCCUUAUACAAAAAGCACAGAAUAAACACUGGCCAGAUGGAAAUGAACUAAGUGAUGCCCUUUAUACUAACGCGCAUAUCCAUUUCACAAUGCCAUGGACCAAUGUUCUCAUCUCAGUUGUGACUUAACUCUCUCUCCCCAACGAGCGAGGGGCUGAAUGAUCACCUUAGUCUUCACCGGAAGAAUUCUCCUGGGAUGACUUCAAGGAGUGAGACCUGACUUCCAUUUGCCUCUGAUGCUCAGGCACAGCCCUCGGACGUGGACAUCAUCAAACGUCCUCUUCGCCUUGGAAGGGGGCAAACAAAAUCCAUAUUUCAACUCCAUUUUCUCACUGGGAGGAGAGAGGGGCAGGUACCAGUAAGAUAAGACAGAAAAUGAAGAAAGGAGAUAAGAGAAAAAAAAAGAUGUCUGACUAAAUGAGGGUGCCAGUGCUCCUUGGAGUCAGAAAACGCUGAUUCCGGCUCUGGGAAGAAAGUGAUCCUGGACCAGCCUCUUGCUCCAGAAGGUGAGAAAGCCUCCUGUUCUUCCGGUCACGACAGAAGGAAUCAGAAGCCGACUAAAAAGUUUUUCCAGGGGCCACAUAGAGACAAUUUUAGCGUCAAACAAAUGAUAACUACAAUUGACGGCAACACGUUGGACCCAUUAGGUCAGACUGAUGCUGGGAAUAAAGGCAGAACAGAAACAUAAAGUUUUUUUUAAAAAAAUUUCACCCUUUUUAAAGAAUAAAUUAUUCUGAAAACUAGUGAAGGUAGCGCAUAAAACAAGCAUUUAUCUCAUUUUAUUUGUGGAAACUGUGCUUUGGGGGAACAAAUGAGUGUUGAAGGAAUGGUCUUUAUAGAUGAAAUCUGGGCAAUACAAGAGGAAAUCGGAACUAUUAGGUUGGUGGAAAAACCGUGAUUACUUUUGCACCAACCUGAUACAAUAUCCCAGUUGGGCAAUCUCGAAUGACGCAAGAUGAGCGUCAUCAUCAUCAUUGCUGCCAACCCAUCUGGUGAGGAGCUGGGAGAGAGCGUGGAAACACUGAGCCGGCGGCUCCAUCGUUACAACGCCGCAGGCAAACAAGGGGAAUUCUGGGAGAGAGCGUGGAAACACUGAGCCGGCGGCUCCAUCGUUACAACGCCGCAGGCAAACAAGGGGAAUUCUGGGAGAGAGCGUGGAAACACUGAGCCGCGGCUCCAUGGUUACAACGCCGCAGGCAAACAAGGGGAAUUCUGGGAGAGAGCGUGGAAACACUGAGCCGGCGGCUCCAUCGUUACAACGCCGCAGGCAAACAAGGGGAAUUCUGGGAGAGAGCGUGGAAACACUGAGCCGGCGGCUCCAUCGUUACAACGCCACAGGCAAACAAGGGGAAUUCUGGGAGAGAGCGUGGAAACACUGAGCCGGCGGCUCCAUGGUUACAACGCCGCAGGCAAACAAGGGGAAUUCUGUGGCUCCAGUGUGACACGUCCACAGGAACGCACAUGGUACCAAGAAGGGAAAGAAGAUACCACGUAUGUGCAGUCACUCAAUUCAGAGUGUGGAAAAUGCUACAGGGUAAGGAAUCUGGUUAAUUGCAAUUAAAAAAAGAGAGAGAGAUAACCUGUAUAUAAAAUAAAUUUAAGAGACUUGUCCAAGUAAAUGUAAUGUUUGAAAUGUGUUGAAUUCUGAUUUAAACAAGCCAAACGUGUCUAUACAUAUGUGUACACACAUGGGCACAUAUAUACAAACACAUGCAUAUAUAUACAUUUACAAUCAAUCUGAACACUCUUCAAGUACAUACUUUAUAGAAUUAGUUAUUGCUAAUUUUUUUAGCCAUAUCGUGGUUAUAUUUUAAAAGAGAAAGGGACUAUUUUGUAGAAACACAGACUGAAGUAUUUACAAAUGAAAUGAUUUCAAGUCUGAGAUUUCCAUAAUAAUCCCGGGGAGAGGAAGAGGUUACAUGGGAUUUUAGAUGAGACAAGUUGGCCUGGGUUCAUAAUUGUUGAAACUGCAUGAUGGAGGCCGGGCGCACUGGCUCACACCUGUAAUCCCAGCACUUUGGGAGGCUGAGGCAGGC